rnacentral:rRNA from 1 species
UCGAACGGGCUUCUUCGGAAGUCAGUGGCAGACGGGUGAGUAACACGUGGGAACGUGCCCUUCGGUUCGGAAUAACUCAGGGAAACUUGAGCUAAUACCGGAUACGCCCUUUUGGGGAAAGGUUGACUGCCGAAGGAUCGGCCCGCGUCUGAUUAGCUUGUUGGUGGGGUAACGGCCUACCAAGGCGACGAUCGGUAGCUGGUCUGAGAGGAUGAUCAGCCACACUGGGACUGAGACACGGCCCAG